UAUCAUGUGGAAUACAGCAGUCUCAUUUGAUUUCAGAAGCUAAGCCGGGUUGGGCCUGUUUAGUAUUUGGAUGGAAGAUCACCAGGGAUUUCCAGGUA
rnacentral:rRNA from 1 species